UUCUUCCCUAAUAUGUUGCUACGCUCAUUUCCCGGCGAAACAGCCUCUCUUCCUUCUUGUCAAUGUUUCCGUCCUAACCGUCCGCCACCAUCUGCAGUUUUCGGCGAAGACAGCGCCUCGACGCUUCUCCCUCAUCCAUCCCAAAUCUCUCUCUGAACACACACGCUCAAGGCAUAGGGGCGAGCCCUAAUUCUCCUUCUUCGUCUUAAUCCGCCGCCGCUUCCUCAAAAUCCACCGUCUGAUUGUCGCCGUUAGGCUCUAAAACUCCGGCGUCCCUGACCUAUGUUCAUCUCUCUACUCAUCGAUUUCCCCUCUAAGAAGGUAAAGAUCGAGCCCUAGCUUCCUCAUCAGAAAUCCCGCUCCGCCUUUGCAAAUUCCGACGAAGCCGUCGUCUCGUCCAGUUGAUGUCGCCUCUCCCUUCGCUUGACUCUCUCCCUUACUCCCACUCUAUCGCUAGGGUUUAUCGACUGCAAAACUUUCACCUGCGAAAAUGGUGACCCGAUUUCACGUACGCUCCUUGCUCAUCACCAAGUUGCUUCUCUUAUCGGCGUUCUCUCACUCCCGCGGCGUCGUUUCCAUCUUUGCUCCAGAGGGCCAUCUCCGACGAAUUCUCCGAUUUGAGCCUUACCUGAAAAGCGCCUGCAAGAGAUUCAUCAUGGAGCUGCACCCUACCUUCAAGUACACCGAGGUUAUGCAAAAAAAUUAUGAAGUUCUAUUAGGUAAGACUCUCUGCCUUAUUCUUUUGUAUCGAUUCCAGCUUGUGAAUAAUACUAUUACUUUAAUAAUCAAUUAGAGAUCUCAAUGUUUAUUCUCAUUGGCUAGAGUUUUUAAUGCUUCUGAGAUUGAACAAGGUAAUAUCUUAAUUCUUUUAGUAAGGGACGCCCCUGGCAGUUUGGUUCUUGGUUCAGCUAUAUUUAUUAUUUAGAUGGUAUGAUAAAUCAUUUUCUUUACCCUGCAGUAUGGAUCAACUGAGAUAAUUAAGUUGCAGCUUUUGAUAAUAUAUUGUUCUGUUAGGCUUCUUGAUCAUAACUACCAUGAAUAAAUGUUUUCCAUGUUCAGAAGAAUAAAUGCCAAGGAGCAUGUUGUCGGUUGGUAUAGUACUGGCCCAAAACUGAAGGAGAAUGACCUAAAUAUUCAUGGACUUUUCAACUAGAAAGAGCAGAUCUGUAUUAUGAGCGUUGCACACUAAGCUGAUCAAAUCAUAUACAACAUGAUUUGAUUUCCUAAUUAGCUCUUCAAACGCUCUAAUUCAGUAGAGGUAGGUUGGAGAUGGGAACUAAAUUUAUAUGAUUCCUUUUGAGAAUAUGAGGUUGAUGCAUGGAUUUUGGAUAUGCAUGUAACUAUUGUAAAGUAAAUAAUAUUAUUAUCCUAUUCUAUAUAAAAAAAAAAUUGCAGGAUUAAGAAAUUAAUUGAUAUGGAAGCACUGGGGCUGUCUAGUUUAGCAGUAAAUUAUAAUUUUUUUCCCAACAGUACUUAGCACUUAGCGGAUCAAGUUGAUGGAAGUCGAUGCACCGUGUUUCAAUCGAGAAUGCAGCCAAAAACUGAGCUAUGAGGACCAAUGUUGUGAAAAUCUUAAGGCGGGAUUGAGGCGUUUUGCCUCGUCGAGGCGAGGCGGUAAGCCUCGAGGCGGUUUGAGGCGUAAGCCUCACACCUAACACACAAAAAAACUCAUAAUAAUUUUAAAAAACAAAUAACACCAUUUAAAAAUUAAAAAAUAUAUAUAAAUUAUGAGUUUAAAAGAGGAAGCUGACUGCUGCUGCUCUAGUUUGCUGAUGUUUUUCGAAUGCUUGUAUGAUUGUAUCUCAAUAAUAUUUUUAUUUAUACUUUCAAUAGAUUAGGGUUAAACUAUAAUAUUUUUAAGGCCCACCAUCCCAAAGUUGCGGCUGAUAUAGCUUGGAAAUAAGAGAAUAAAAGAGGUCAAACAUUGCGGUUGUGAUAGGUUAAAAAUUAUCUUAUUUAUCACCGCCUCAUGUAUUAUUUGAUUCCUUGAGGCGCCGCCUCAUUUGCUUUAAGGCGCAAAUUCGUAAAAUAUGCAUAAGGCGUAUAUGCGGUGCGGGUUUAUCACCGCCUCGCCUUGAGGCGCGCCUCAAGGCGGCCGCCUCAUUCGAUUUUCACAACACUGAUGAGGACUACUUCUAACGAGAAGGCUGAGGCAGAGAACGACGUUUCAAAUGUCUAGCAAGUUGCACGCAUUUGUAAUAUUUUUUUUAAUUAAACAUAUAGCGAAAUAGAAUAUAUGUGACGUUUUCAUUGUAUUUGGAUGAUAAUGUAUGAAUAUUUUGGAUGUUAUAUAAUACUCCCUUCGUCCGUCAAAAGUACGACACUUUGGCUGGGCACGGGAUUUAAUAAAAUUGGU